rnacentral:tRNA from 1 species
GGAAGCGUGGUAGAGUGGUUAAUACAAUGGAUUGCUAAUCCAUGAACCUGUAUGGGUUCCGACGGUUCGAAUCCGUCCGCUUCCGCCA